GCAAGCGUUGUUCGGAAUUACUGGGCGGAAAGGGCUCGUAGGCGGCCAGCUAAGUCGGAUGUGAAAUCCCCAGGCUUAACCUGGGAACUGCAUCCGAUACUGGAUGGCUUGAAUCCGGGAGAGGGAUGCAGAAUUCCAGGUGUAGCGGUGAAAUGCGUAGAUAUCUGGAGGAAUACCGGUGGCGAAGGCGGCAUCCGGGACCGGCAUUGACGCUGAGUGAGCGAAAGCCAGGGGAGCAAACGGG
rnacentral:rRNA from 1 species